AAUGAAUUGACGGGGGCCCGCACAAGCGGUGGAGCAUGUGGUUUAAUUCGAUGCAACGCGAAGAACCUUACCUGGUCUUGACAUCCACAGAACUUUCCAGAGAUGGAUUGGUGCCUUCGGGAACUGUGAGACAGGUGCUGCAUGGCUGUCGUCAGCUCGUGUUGUGAAAUGUUGGGUUAAGUCCCGCAACGAGCGCAACCCUUAUCCUUUGUUGCCAGCGGUCCGGCCGGGAACUCAAAGGAGACUGCCAGUGAUAAACUGGAGGAAGGUGGGGAUGACGUCAAGUCAUCAUGGCCCUUACGACCAGGGCUACACACGUGCUACAAUGGCAUAUACAAAGAGAAGCGACCUCGCGAGAGCAAGCGGACCUCAUAAAGUAUGUCGUAGUCCGGAUUGGAGUCUGCAACUCGACUCCAUGAAGUCGGAAUCGCUAGUAAUCGUAGAUCAGAAUGCUACGGUGAAUACGUUCCCGGGCCUUGUACACACCGCCCGUCACACCAUGGGAGUGGGUUGCAAAAGAAGUAGGUAGCUUAACCUUCGGGAGGGCGCUUACCACUUUGUGAUUCAUGACUGGGGUGAAGUCGUAACAAGGUAACCGUAGGGGAACCUGCGGUUGGAUCACCUCCUUACCUUAAAGAA
rnacentral:rRNA from 1 species